UCCAUGGCAACCCUUACUAGAGAAGUUGAAUCUCGGCCAAACAAACACUUACUAAUUGAUGUUCAAUGCAGGAAUACAGGACCCUUACAAGAAGAUAUUAACAUCUUGGAAAGAGAAAAAAAUAAUUAUAGGAUGACCUGUGCCAGAAGAUAAAUAAGAAUAAACAUUGUUCAUUUUAAAAAAUAAAAAGAAGAAAAUUGCAGAGGAAACAUGCAUAAUAAAUUUCUCUAGCAAAGGAGGGUGCAAUAGUUCCCCACAAACAAAAGAACAAACUCAAAAGAUAUUUAAUCGGAUUUUAAAAAGUGUAAAAUUCAUUAAAGCAAGAAAAUAUAAGAUUUCAAACGAAAAAAAUAUACUAGAUGAGAUUGCCACACAGGACUACUGAUGUGCCUGGACUGAAUGAGUACGACGAACCUAAAUUUAAGAUUAAGUCAAACUUGGAGCCAAACAACAGCAGAAUCAAGGCGUUAAUUUGAUUUGUUGAAGUUUAAAAUGAACCUCUACAAAACAGUUUACCAACUAAUUCCACCACACAUCACUCCAUAGUAAAAAUUCAGCAUUAAGUAGAACUAAAUGAACGAAAUAGUUGAAUGAAAACGAAUCGAAUUGUAGGCCUUCGCCUUAACCAGUUUUCAGUACACUGGUUUACUACAACAUAAAUCAAGAUCGAGUGAAAUAGCAGCAGUAAAAGCAUCAGAGAUGCCAAAUCUUGGAAUCAGUAAAUUGAUUGACAUUUAGCAGGGGCGCAGUCAAAGCACAAAAUGAAACGAUAUCCAUAAAAACACGAACAUCUACAGUAAGCAGAUUUAGCUGCAAUAUAUUAACUACUCCGACAUCAAAUACUGCUUUGGGCUCAUAUAUAAACAAGAAAAUAAAAAUGUAACUGCAUCUCUGUUUGUUUUUAGGACAGUGAAAAUAAGAAAAAGUGCGAACAAAAGUAGAUUUAGCAUCUAAUUUUCUCAGGGGAAGAAAAGAAAAAGAAAACUAAAAGCAAUUAAUGUUUCUCCACAAUGCAAAUAAGUACAAGGAGAUCCGUGAAAUUUGACAAGACGAAGGUCCAUU
rnacentral:lncRNA from 1 species